rnacentral:rRNA from 1 species
UACGAAGGGGGCUAGCGUUGCUCGGAAUUACUGGGCGUAAAGGGCGCGUAGGCGGAUAUCUAAGUCGGGGGUGAAAGCCCAGGGCUCAACCCUGGAAUUGCCUUCGAUACUGGAUAUCUUGAGUACGGGAGAGGUGAGUGGAACUCCGAGUGUAGAGGUGAAAUUCGUAGAUAUUCGGAAGAACACCAGUGGCGAAGGCGACUCACUGGCCCGUUCUUGACGCUGAGGCGCGAAAGCUAGGGGAGCAAACGGG